AGUAGUUACCUGAGGUUCUUUGACACAAAAAACUAAAAAUCAGUCCAAACUCAAACUUGUAAAUCCAAAUGAAAUCCACAGAAAGUGUAAACAAUUCAAGUGUAUUUCCUGUUUCAUGCACUUUAGAAAAAAAAUGUUUAAAAACAUUCACACAGCUUAUCUACAAUGCAUUUUUAAAAGCACAGAAUGGAUGCAAGUCCAAAAAACUUUUAACCGAGGCUGUUGUUUUAACAUCUCUAGGAACUUAAUCGCAAGGUUGCUGAACUCCAUGUGUAUGUGGAGACACUGAACAUACCACCCGCAGCCGAGUGACGCUACAAGGAGAGGACACACAUACCUAAGGUGGGCGAUAUGACUAGUUUAUAAUAAGCUUAAGGUGAGAAAUGUAUUUCAAUUCAAACUAAAAAAAUAGCGAUUUAAAAAAAAAGUCUUAAAAAAAGGGGUAGAUCAAUACAAUGUACAAGAGUCUCUACAUUGCAGUUGGAAGGAUGCCAGAGCAGGAGACUCCAUUCCCAGGGCCAU